AUUGAACGCUGGCGGCAGGCCUAACACAUGCAAGUCGAGCGGCAGCGGGAAAGUAGCUUGCUACUUUUGCCGGCGAGCGGCGGACGGGUGAGUAAUGCCUGGGAAAUUGCCCAGUCGGGGGGGAUAACAGUUGGAAACGACUGCUAAUACCGCAUACGCCCUACGGGGGAAAGCAGGGGACCUUCGGGCCUUGCGCGAUUGGAUAUGCCCAGGUGGGAUUAGCUAGUUGGUGAGGUAAUGGCUCACCAAGGCGACGAUCCCUAGCUGGUCUGAGAGGAUGAUCAGCCACACUGGAACUGAGACACGGUCCAGACUCCUACGGGAGUCAGCAGUGGGGAAUAUUGCACAAUGGGGGAAACCCUGAUGCAGCCAUGCCGCGUGUGUGAAGAAGGCCUUCGGGUUGUAAAGCACUUUCAGCGAGGAGGAAAGGUUGAUGCCUAAUACGUAUCAACUGUGACGUUACUCGCAGAAGAAGCACCGGCUAACUCCGUGCCAGCCGCCGCCGUAAUAC
rnacentral:rRNA from 1 species